GCCUCGGAUAGCCGCAAACAGGCUCCGACCCGAGGAUUUCCGAAUGGGGCAACCCAUCCAGGGUAAUCCUGGAUCACGUAAGGUGAAUACAUAGCCUUACGUAGUCAACCCGGGGAAGUGAACCAUCUCAGUACCCGGAUGAAAAGAAAGCAAAUGCGACUCCCCUAGUAGCGGCGAGCGAACGGGGAAGAGCCCAAAACCUCUUUUAUGUCAAGUCUGUCGACGUUGUAGAAGAGGGGUUGUAGGGCCGGACGUGCCACUGGACAGCAGUGGCGGGAAGUUACAAAUCGAUCUCUUAGCCGAACAGUCUGGGACGGCUGGCGACACAAGGUGAAAGCCCUGUAGGCGAAAAGAGUGAGACUUCCUUGUCUGGUUCCUGAGUACCGCGGGGCACGUGAAACCCUGCGGGAAUCUGGGAGGACCAUCUCCCAAGGCUAAGUACGUGCCUGCGACCGAUAGUGAACCAGUACCGUGAGGGAG
rnacentral:rRNA from 1 species